rnacentral:rRNA from 1 species
AGCAUUUGACUGCUAUUAAAGUGGCUAAGGCCAUGAACAUGGAUGGACCUGCGGUGCAUUAGCUAGUUGGUGAGGUAACGGCCCACCAAGGCGACGAUGCAUAGCCGGCCUGAGAGGGCGGACGGCCACAUUGGGACUGAGACACGGCCCAAACUCCUACGGGAGGCAGCAGUAGGGAAUUUUCGUCAAUGGGGGGAACCCUGAACGAGCAAUGCCGCGUGAGUGAGGAAGGUCUUCGGAUCGUAAAGCUCUGUUGUAAGAGAAAAACGACAUUCAUAGGGAAUGAUGAGUGAGUGAUGGUAUCUUACCAGAAAGUCACGGCUAACUACGUGCCAGCAGCCGCGGUAAUACGUAGGUGGCGAGCGUUAUCCGGAAUGAUUGGGCGUAAAGGGUGCGUAGGUGGCAGAUCAAGUCUGGAGUAAAAGGUAUGGGCUCAACCCGUACUGGCUCUGGAAACUGAUCAGCUAGAGAACAGAAGAGGACGGCGGAACUCCAUGUGUAGCGGUAAAAUGCGUAGAUAUAUGGAAGAACACCGGUGGCGAAGGCGGCCGUCUGGUCUGGAUUCUGACACUGAAGCACGAAAGCGUGGGGAGCAAAUAGGAUUAGAUACCCUAGUAGUCCACGCCGUAAACGAUGAGAACUAGGUGUUGGGGGAAUAACUCAGUGCCGCAGUUAACGCAGUAAGUACUCCGCCUGGGGAGUAUGCACGCAAGUGUGAAACUCAAAGGAAUUGACGGGGGCCCGCACAAGCGGUGGAGUAUGUGGUUUAAUUCGAAGCAACGCGAAGAACCUUACCAGGCCUUGACAUCCCUUGCAGAGGUAUAGAGAUAUAUCCGAGGUUACCAAGGAGACAGGUGGUGCAUGGUUGUCGUCAGCUCGUGUCGUGAGAUGUUGGGUUAAGUCCCGCAACGAGCGCAACCCUUGUGAUAUGUUACUAACAUUGAGUUGAGGACUCAUAUCAGACUGCCGGUGAUAAACCGGAGGAAGGUGGGGAUGACGUCAAAUCAUCAUGCCCCUUAUGGCCUGGGCUACACACGUACUACAAUGGCGUCUACAAAGAGCGGCAAGCCUGUGAAGGCAAGCGAAUCUCAUAAAGGGCGUCUCAGUUCGGAUUGAAGUCUGCAACCCGACUUCAUGAAGCUGGAAUCGCUAGUAAUCGCGAAUCAGCAUGUCGCGGUGAAUACGUUCUCGGGCCUUGUACACACCGCCCGUC